rnacentral:rRNA from 1 species
AGGAUGAACGCUGGCGGCGUGCCUAACACAUGCAAGUCGAACGUCCUGUCUCGCAAGAGGCAGGGAGUGGCGGACGGGUGAGUACCACGUGGGUCAUCUACCGUGAGGUGAGGAAUACCGGCGAGAAAUCGCCGACAAGACCGCAUAGGCUCGAUGCAAGUCGAGCAAAGCCCUUUCGAGAGAGGGAGCGCCACACGAGGAGCCUGCGCCCGAUUAGCUAGCUGGUGGAGUAACGGUUCACCAGGGCGACGAUCGGUAGCUGGUCUGAGAGGACGAUCAGCCACACUGGGAUUGAGAACGGCCCAGACUCCUACGGGGGGCAGCAGUGAGGAAUUUUCGUCAAUGGGGGCAACCCUGAACGAGCAACGCCGCGUGCAGGAAGAAGGUUUUCGGAUCGUAAACUGCUUUUCUCGGGGAAGAGAACGGACGGUACCCGAGGAAUCGAGCCCCGGCUAACUACGUGCCAGCAGCCGC